GACUUCACAGCACUGUGGCCAGAUUCCCCCCACCUCCCCAUGAACCCUACCCUGAUCCCCCUGUCCUCAGCUUCUCCUUCACGGGUUCUCUCCUUCCUGUGAUACAUAGCUGUUACUUUUUUCUAUCUGCUGUUGUUCUGCCUCCUACCUCCCCCUCUUUCCCACCCUGUGUUUAGAAUAUGAACAUUUAGAAAGAAGAGUAUAUAAUCAAUACUCUUGUUAGUAUGUCCUAAAUAAGAAUUAACACAGCAAUAAGAGAAGAGCAGACACUUGGGCUGCAUAGGACUUCAGAAAUGUCCCUUGAAUUCCCCAUGACCAGAGAAGAGAAGGGCAUCCUCCAACUCCUGGAUUAAGGAAGCACCAACCAGCUGGAGUUUGCUUAAAGACAUUGGGAGAGAACUUUAAGCUUCAGGAAGGACAGCUAAUGAGUGACAGCUGAGAUAAUAAAGACCUGCCUGUCACCCACCCUGCUUUCUGCACAAGCCACAAACAUCCUCGUGAAAGUUAAAAGGAAAAAGAAAAACAUGCUCUUCCAAGGCCCUUAGAAGUAUUAUGGCCCUGGCUACAGUCUCCACAGGGCCUCCUGGGCAGACAUACCACUCAUGGAGAAGAGAGGUCGCUGUCAUUGUCACAUUACAUCAUUACAUCAUUACAGAGAUGCCAAGGUGGGAGAAACUUGAAGCUGCUAGUCUCAUAGCUAUAGUCAACCUCAGAGAGGAGCCUCAGAGAGGAGUCAACCUCAGGAGGAGUCAUUGACACAUGCUCUCUUCAGCAGAGUGUGCAGGAGAUGGAAGUCAGAGGCCAUCGGCUUGCCCACAUUCCUCACCCAGGACUGAGCUGCGCAUGACUGCUGCUUCCCUGCCUUUGAGUAAUGAGGGGACACAGCAAGACGGCCACAUCAGGGCUGCUGUAUUAGUAAGGCUACUUUCCUGUCCAUUUAUCAUCAAUUAAAGGUGUGCUAGUUUGUAAA
rnacentral:lncRNA from 1 species